rnacentral:rRNA from 1 species
UACAGAGGUCUCAAGCGUUGUUCGGAUUCAUUGGGCGUAAAGGGUGCGUAGGCGGCGGGGUAAGUCGGGUGUGAAAUCUCAGGGCUCAACCCUGAAACUGCACUCGAUACUGCUCUGCUUGAGGACUGGAGAGGAGACUGGAAUUCACGGUGUAGCAGUGAAAUGCGUAGAGAUCGUGAGGAAGACCAGUGGCGAAGGCGGGUCUCUGGACAGUUCCUGACGCUGAGGCGCGAAGGCCAGGGGAGCAAACGGG